rnacentral:rRNA from 1 species
GGAGGGUGCAAGCGUUACUCGGAAUCACUGGGCGUAAAGAGCGUGUAGGCGGAUUGAUAAGUUUGAAGUGAAAUCCUAUAGCUUAACUAUAGAACUGCUUUGAAAACUGUUAAUCUAGAAUGUGGGAGAGGUAGAUGGAAUUUCUGGUGUAGGGGUAAAAUCCGUAGAGAUCAGAAGGAAUACCGAUUGCGAAGGCGAUCUACUGGAACAAUAUUGACGCUGAGACGCGAAAGCGUGGGGAGCAAAC